rnacentral:lncRNA from 1 species
CUCACCCUUAAAUCUGUUAAAUAAAUAAUGUACAGCACAUAUGAAUAUCUAGUAGGUAAAAUAAAAUAAACAAAUGCACCUGCAAGACAAACUAAAAUUACCAAUAUUUUUAUUCAUAGGAUACAAAAUUAAAAUAAUAUUGCUUACUGUUUCCGGGAUACAUAAGACAUCAAAGUUCAUGUCGCUGCUGAUUAAAAUUUAAGAAUAUUCAGAAUUGAAACUCAUCAUUAGUUUGGCUCUUCAUUAUUUCCUUGCUGUUGCUCCUCAUUUUUUAUUUGCUCCUGCAGCUGAAGUCGGCUUGCCAUUUUUCUCUUCUUUUUGAAUUCUGGUUGCUGACUUCUUACUGUCUCCAAAGUCCUCUAUUUAUAGCACUUCGAUCGGCUCGGCUCCCCCAAUGGUGAUAAGUCACUUGUUAUUUAACAGGUUUGCUGGUUGAAACUUUAAACAAGUGAAUAAGUACUUGUCCAUUAGUUGUACUUGUCAAUUAGUUACUAAAUGUUACUUCACUUGAACAUAGAUACUAAAUGUGACUGAGUCGGCGAUAUAUUUGUAAUCUUAACAAAUUAGCUUUAUCGAUUGGGCAAGUCUAAUUUUUCUAUUUAAUAGAGAGACUAUCAAGAAAAAUGAUAUUUUUCUAUUUAGUCUUAAACAUAUUUUAAGGACAAUUUUUAUAGUCUCACAUAAAUUUUAAUAACAAUUUUUAUAGUCUCACAUAAAUUUUAAUAACAAUAUGUAGUCAUAGAAUUCAAAAUUUAAUGACGAAAGAACUUUGAAGUGAAAAAUAUUAUUAACAUAAAUAUAAUUCAUCACAAAGAAAUCUAAAAUCUAAAAGGUAACAAUAAAUAGUCUAAAAUGAGAUUACAUUGUAGAAGAAAAAUAAAAGUAACAUUACACAAAAGUAGAAUUAAGUAAACAACAAGUUGUUGUUUUAUGAAUGCUUCAACUUCCUUAAAUUUGCUAUCUUCUUCCUUGAUUUUAAUUUUUUAUCCUUAUUUUGCUGAGACAAUGUUGUAGUAGAUGAUGACUUUGAAGGUACCUAUCAUUUUCAAGCUUUAUAAAAUUAAAGAUUUUUCCCAAAAGUAUUUCACAAUUUGAUCAUCUAUUAUUGGUACAUCAUUUUUCUCUAUCUAUAUUUGGCUCUACAUGAUUAAAAAAAUAAUACUAACAAUAAAAAAAAAACUUGAGAAAACACUUAGGUAGCAUUUACUUUUUGGAUUGCCAAUGCAUAAAAGAAUCGUAUAUGGCAAGCCAAAUAGGUAUAAAUAAAAAUAUUUAGGUAAGAAUGCAACAUCAAUUAAAUUUUUCAAUGAAACAUAUCCGCAAUCAAUUCUUUCAUCCAUUAAAAAGAUAGAAAAAAUUCUAAAUGAAAGAAAGGAGAUUACAAGCACAUACUUGCUUUCAUUAUUACUUCAAAUUAACAAUAUAAUCAAAAGAUUACAAGCACAUAAUCAACCUCGAUGCACUUGCACAAAUUUUGCAUCCAAAGCUCUGAAGUUAAUCUAUUAAAUAGUUGGCAUCAAACUUGAAUUAAAUUAAAUUAUUAAGCAGUCAAUCAAUCAAUGUUUACAGUAAAAUAAAUAUAAAGUUGAAAGAAAUAAAAGAUUAAGUAAAAAAUGAAAAACAAAAUAGCGUACACAUUUAGAUUUUGUAUGGAGACUACUUGAACCUUUUUCGCUCACUCCAAUACAUUUUCUGAAACAAAGUAUUAAGGAAACUCUCUAUACAUUUUUGUUAUCCCAGUACAAAGGAAGAUAAGUAUAUUAAUUUUGACUAAACAUACAACAACCACUUGGUGGGGGGGAAGGCUUGUUAAUCUUUAUUUAGUCACUUCCCAGCAAAUCCAACAAUAUUUUGAGCAAACUUUACUACUUUAGCAACCCAAGCUUCAAAAUCGUCCUUUUAAACAACGCAUCAAAACUACCUAAUAUUUUAUAUUUAAAAUUUUGUAGCUUAACUUAUUAUUAUAUUGGCUGGACUUAAAUAAUUUACUAACUCUUUUUAUUAUAUUAAUACUAGCUAUAAUUUUCUUUAAAAAAAUAAAGAAAGAUGAUUAAUUACAUACCAAGAUGAAGUGAGCAAAAAUUAGAAAGAUCCCAAUUUUCUAGAGUUCUUAUGAAAGAGUAUUAGGAAAAAAAAAUCUAAUAUCAUCAGACCUAAACCCACUGCCCAAAUUGACAAACAAAUUGAUCUUAAUAUCCUAAUUUUGCAAGAGUUUCUCAAAACCUAGUAAACUUUGCUUCAAAUUCCUUCAUUUAUUUGCAUGUAUUUUAUGUUUUUCUUUUACUAGAUUCUCUUAGGAAUUUUAUCAAGCACUUGAUAAGCAUAAAAAUAUUCAAAUAAUAGAUCUAAGAAUUACAAUCCCUAAUUUUACCAAACACAAAAAUAUAAAUUUCACAUAAUCCAAUCACAACUAAACUAAUCAAAAUUAAAUUGGCUGAGUUUAUAUAUACUCACAAUUUCGAAGUAGAACGAGAGAUGCGAGUGAAUUUUGUUGAGUGGCUUAUUUUGGCAUGCGUGAGUGAACUGGUGAGGGUGGCGUGCUUUGAGCGGCGAGCUUUUCAGCGGCGGCAAAGGGCGUGAUUCUAGUGGCUUAUGCGGCGGCUAAGGUAGAGUUACAGUGUUGCCUCCAUAGUCGCGGGUUUUGUUCUGUUAUCAUCAUUCACAAACACACGCACAAAUUGGAAAGGAUUACAAAAGAUAAAGAUGGGUAGUUUUUAAUACAAAAUCAAUUAAAGUGAAGUGGUCAGGGAGAGAGUGGGAGGGAAUUAAAUUGUUUUGUUUGGAUAACAACAAAAUUGGCCGAGGAGUGAGGGAGGGGAUUAAUUUGUAUUUCACGGUUUCAUUAGAGAAAUUUAUGUUCUAUUUAAAUUUAGUAUUUUUUAUUUUUUAUUUUUU